AUGCUCACCGGGAGCCAUGAAUUUAUUAAGAGUUGGAUAUUGAGGGAGCACGAAGGAAACGAAGCACGAAGCACGAAGGAGAGUGCAAGACUUCUCUCUUCUGUCCUCAUUGAAAAGACAGUCAGCUUUUGUAACCUUGCCUUGGGGAUGUUAGCAGGAGAAAUGUUGGCAAUUCAAGGCUCUUCUGGUUUUAUAAGAAAACCAGGUUUUGCUGGGAGGCCUGGAGUAGAAGAGAGAGAGCCUUGGAGAAGCAAAAAUGGGAGGAGAGACAUGCCUAGAGAUCAGGAAGAGGGAAGAAAAAAUUUCUCAAGUACUGUUCAACUUCUAAUGCCAACUUAGAAGUAGUAGAAGGUAACUUUUCUGGCUCUCAUUUUCUCUCAUUUGAACAGCAGGGGUUACCCAAGUUAGACAGUAAGGUUGCCAGAGGUUGGUUGUAAAUCUCUCUCCUUCCAGUGCUCUUUGAUAUUAG
rnacentral:lncRNA from 1 species